GCAGGGGCGGUGGCCAUUUUCUCUCUACCUCGAAGUUUUCACCGAAUCAGUGAGGAUUCAGUAAUACACCUGUCGUUAACACUAAUUAAUGAAUUAAUGCGUUUUUGACGACUGGCUAUGGAAGCUCCUGCAUAAUAUCACGUGUUAACGAUUCAUCUGUACAAUAGGUCUACCAAUAGGACAAAAAAAUGAAAAAGGGACCGUUGCAUUUUUUGGGUCGAAAGAACCAGUCUCUCUUCGACACCAAUAUUAAAAUCAAGGAGAUGGACAAUGUUGAGCUGGUGUUGGAUUCAUCAGCCAUUCCUGAAUCAGGCACUGCUAAAGUGAGGUCCAGACCCGCAGUCAAGCACUACAUGUCCUCCUCUGAUGUUGUGCAAGGGUUUGCUGUCCCAACACCCAAAGUUCCUGUCCUCCCCCCUUUCAACAGUCCAAAGAUCAACAGGGCAGGUGAGGGUCUCCCAAGUCUCUGUGUUUACCAGAGUUAAGCUGUGCAGCUAAAUCAUUUACAUUUCUAUGAACUUAAGCCGUAGUGCUGGUUUUAGAUUCAGUUGAUUGAUCAAAUUUCGGCAGAAACUCAAAGCAACUCCGUUUUCAUAAAGGGCUUAAAUAUACAGUACCAGUCAAAGGUUGACACCGAUUCAUGUAAAAC